CUGUCCGCCGCCGAGAGCCGUCGCUGCCGCGGUGGAAGGUGCGCAGGCCCCCGGGACUCUUCUGGCUCAGGCCGGGGCCUCUGGCGCCGCGAGUCUGAAUCCGAGCCUUGCCUCCUCCACUGAGCAGCUGUGUGGCCAUGGGUAAGGCGCCCGUCUUCCAUGUCUCCGUCUGCGCAGUGAAGGUGAUGACUUCGUGGUUUUGCGGACUCGUGGGAGCUCACGCUUGUAAGCGAGGGCGCGGUGGGUGUAGCUUUUCCUAUUCCUGAGAGAAGAGGCGCUUCCCGGGUGAGAGCACAGAGACCCGAGAAAGCAGGCCCUGCAGAAUGAGCCUUUGUUUGCCGGCUACGGAGGGAUGGAGCGGAUGAAGCUGCAGAGCUGACUGACAGACCUUGUAUUUUGCGGAGCCCCCUGGUCGGUGGUAGGGAGGUUGGGUUUUGAACAGCCGCGGGAUCCCCCAGCUGCGUGCAGAACGAGGAGGGUCGUGCUAAAGGCAGAAAGAUGCUUCAGUGUUGCCGUACUUGAAGGAAGGGGCCCGGGACCUAAAUCGGAGGAUGGGUGGUGGAUGUGGUUAAUCAUGGGUGGCUGUGAAGGAACAGACAGAAUUGUGAGGGAGAGGGAGUCCGGGACAGUGUUCUGGUCGGGUAACUGCGUGGCUGUUGCUGCCUUUCAGGCAGACAGGAAAUGCCAAAGGACUGGAGGGUGUGUGUAGAGAACCAGAUGCUCAGGUGCGUCUAGGUUCCCAACCCAGUGAAGAUCGAACUUGUGACAGGAAGCAGCUUUGGGUCGGCGCAGUCAGGGCAAGCCCCUUGGGUCUUAGGUUUCCCUGGAGGUUAAGGGCACAUGGGAGUGUGGAGUGUAGCCACCACUUUGUUCAAACACUCGGUUGUUUGUACAAACAUUAGUUCAUUUGUACGACUCUCAAUAAGCUUCUAAAUUCAGUUAAUUCAAUAAGCUUCUAAAGAAUUAGCAGUUUUUCUGAAGAAUUAACGAUUGGGACCAAGGACCUGAAGAAUGGUCAGCAUUUGAGAUAAGGCAGGAGGGGGUUUUCACUGGAUCAGUUCCAUCUUCUUCUUCAACCAACUGAAAGGGUCCGGUACAGCCUUGAGUCUCCGCCCUGAACCAGCUAAGGCUUCCGAGUCACCGCAGGAAUCAGGGUGUGUAACUCUGGCAGAGCUGCUGGCAGAAUGGAUGGGGAAAAGGAAUUUAAUAGUGGAAGGUCUAGACAUUUCUAGUCCUUCUUUAAACACAGCAUUUAUGGGUGAAAUGAUAAAGACAUCUCGGAUUGGCUUCCAGACAAAAUGGAGGGAUGGAGGGAAGCGGCGGAGGGUACUGAUGAAUCAGAAGUGUAUAUGAGUUACUAAUUGUUAAAGCAGGUUGUGAGUACAUGGAGUUUCAUUGUACUAAUCUCAGUAUUUUUGUGUGUGUUGUAAAAUGUCACAAUAAAAGUAAAGCAAAAAAAAAAAAAACACAAAAAACUGAGAUAAGCAGCUCGAACUUAUCUUCUCUGUGAUACUACCUGCCCAGUGUCCCUGGGAGAGGUCGACACACGUUUCUCCAAUCUGUUGCUGUACCUUGAACAUUGCUCUGCCAGGCGACUUAUUAUAAAUGGGUUUCCUUAUCCAUGUCACUAACUAGCUUGUACAUUUUAGUGGCUCGAUUUCCAGGUGCUAAGCACAGUGCAGGGCUGUAGUAACGCUCACUGAAUGUCGGAUGGAUGGAGAACAAAAAUGUGAAUACCAAGCACUUAAUAAAUGUUUUCUGAAUUUUA